rnacentral:rRNA from 1 species
CUGCUUUUGUACGGAACGAAAGGCUCUGCCCUAAUACGGCGGAGAUAUGACGGUACCGUAAGAAUAAGCACCGGCUAACUACGUGCCAGCAGCCGCGGUAAUACGUAGGGUGCAAGCGUUAAUCGGAAUUACUGGGCGUAAAGCGUGCGCAGGCGGUUAUAUAAGUCAGAUGUGAAAUCCCCGGGCUCAACCUGGGAACUGCAUUUGAGACUGUAUAGCUGGAGUACGGCAGAGGGGGAUGGAAUUCCGCGUGUAGCAGUGAAAUGCGUAGAUAUGCGGAGGAACACCGAUGGCGAAGGCAAUCCCCUGGGCCUGUACUGACGCUCAUGCACGAAAGCGUGGGGAGC